CUUCUUCUCCCCCACUCAGCAUUUGCCGCGAGCAGGCAACACUCCUGCAGUCCUGCUGGCCCCAGGCCACGCUCUCCGACGAACGCGCGACGCGCAAUGGGGAGGCGGCCCCUCGCCAGCGCGGCCGCGUUCGUCGCGCUCGCCGUGCUCCUCCUCGUCGUCGUGGUCGCAGUCCACGGUGCGGGCGUACCAUCAUUGUCCGUGAUGGCGUCGGCGGGCAACGGCCGCGGCCGUGCCGUCGUCGCAACGGCCACCUUCGACGCCGCCCGGUGCAAGGAGCAGAGGAAGAAGAAAGCCGGUGGUGCAGUGGCGUGGGCAGGCUACGGCGAUGAGGACGAGGACGACGACAAGCAUGUCGUGCCGACCGGCCCAAACCCGUUGCACAACAGAUGAGACGUCGCGGCGACCAUGUUUUUUUUCUUUCUGAAACGUGGGCGACCAUGUUUGUCUGCACUGCACAGGCUAGUUAGCUCAGGAGGUCAAAGCUCCCUCCUGUGCCAUGGCGGCGCACAAUUGUUUGUCAUUGCUUCGUCUUCUUCUCUUGUGUUUUCAUCGUGGACUAGUCCAAAUAAGCAGUCCACUAACUGAACUGCCUGUACAUAUGUAAGAUCUCUCCCUGCUGCCUUUCCCCCCUCUUCUUACAUAUUAUCCUUUCGUCUUUCUGAAGAUAUUGUGUACGUUCUCUGUUUCUAUCACAUGGCACGGGAAACAGUAUGCGUUUUAUAUUUCUUGAUUUCUUCAGAAUAAAAUGGCGCAUGGGAAACAAUGUGCUUUUUAUAUUAUACAUUUUUCAAAGAGGUAAUAUCACUGAGAGUUACAGAACUUGCAUCACAUGUUCAGUUUGAUGCUAGAACUUUGAAAAUACGGUUUUGUGGUCACUUAAUAACUUGACUCAAGCGUGUAAAUAUGGUCACGAACGUAAUGUGGCCGUAUCCAUGUGUAUGGCCCCGCCUGUCACUGAGUGAGGACACUCGGGCUAUGCAUUUUUGCGCAAGACACCCUUGUAUUUUUUUAUUUUCGAAAAAUCUGACCACCACAACGCACUUUUGCACAGAAAGUCCUUGAUUUUUUUUAUUUGCAGAAAAGUCGCCUACUGGCUACUGUUCUGCUCACGAUGCGAAAAGUAAAACAAAAAGGGCCACGUCAAAACUCAAACAAGAGACCCAAUGUUAGAUCAGCUGCUCGCAUAGCAACUCCACGAUUCACAUUUGAAUAUGAUCUUCAUCGUGAGGCCGCGGUCAAUCCUAUCUCUUCCCACGAUAAUUCUUCCCCCACGCAGCCACGUAUUCACCUCUCCUUCUUCCUCGGCUUUCUCUUCCCUUCCUCGCAGCCACGCAUUCAGUCAAUGCCCUUCUUCCCCACCUCUCCCCAACACCAGCGAUGGAUCCAGCCCCUUUCCCCGCCCCACCCCCAUGCAGCCUCUCUCCACAUCCUCACCUUACCUUUGCUCGUUCCCAUGACGGUAUCAGGCUCUGCGCUGCUAGAGCCCCCCCUGCUCUAAGGUCUAGCAUGGGGACAUGGAUGGGAAGAGGGCGUGGAGGGGAUGGUCUGUGCUACAGAGCUGCGCUCCCUUCCACAUCGCAGCUAGGCGCGCCCCCAUCGACACUCGUGCUGAGGUGUUCCUGGCUCUCCAUCGUCAAACACAAAGGCGGUGGGGAAAUUACACGGGAUAAGCUGCUCGUGAAGGACGGCAUCGACCACAUGCUCAUCUUGCACGACUUCUUCUUCGACCUUUCUCUCUGUACCAAUGUCGUACAAUGCGAAGACGAGGAAUUGAGGAACAUGACCUUAAGGGCCUUUCGAUGAUAUACAGAACGAAUGCGAGGAAUUGAAGAAGUGAGAAAGAUGACCUUCAGUGGUCUUUCGAUGACAUACAAUGCUAAGACGUGGAAUUGGGAAAUUGAGGAACCUGAAUUUCAGUGGUUGUUCGACAACAUACAAGGCGAAGGCGAGGAAUUGCGGAAGAUGACCUUCAGUGGUAUUGGCGGCGGUAUGACGGGAAGACAUGGAUAUUCUAGUCCUUUCUCCAUGUGUGUUCCGACAGGGUAGGCGACACUUAGUCAGAUCGUUUUUUUGCCGACGUUUACUGAUUGUUUCUGUUUUCAUCUUUUGCUAGUGGAACAUGACAUUUUGUUGGUCGACCUAAUGAUCUACUGAUCGGCUAUGUGUUCAACUCGCAUCACUUUGCUUAGCAAAAUCAGUAUCACUUUCUUUGUAA